UCCAUUAUGUACAGCAUUGCGUGAGCUUCGCUCCUUUUGUUUAACCAUUCCUGAGCCUGAGAAGGUGCAUGGAGGGUGAACGGACUACUUUGAGAAAAUUAGCGUGCUCAAUGCAGGCGACUGCUUGUAUACUUAUGCAUGGAAUAAUGAGAAAGGACCUCGGUUCUGUUUUGUUGGUUUCCGGAAGCUGAGGUAAUGAUUGAUAGGGACAAACGGGGGCAUUCGUAUUGUGGUGUUAGAGGUGAAAUUCUGUGAUCACUGCAAGACGAACAACUGCGAAAGCAUUUGCCAAGAAUGUUUUCAUUAAUCAAGAACGAAAGUUAGAGUUUCGAAGACGAUUAGAUACCGUCCUAGUUCUAACUAUAAACUAUGCCAACUGGGCAUCUGGCGAUUGCAUUUAUGCAUCGGCAGGCACCCUGCGGGAAACCAAAGUUAUUGGGUUCCGGGGGGAGUAUGGUUGCAAAAUCGAAACUUAAAGGAAUUGACGGAGGGGCACACCAGAAGUGGAGCCUGCGGCUCAAUUUGACUCAACGCACGAAAACUUACUCGGUCCGAACACCGUGAGGAUUGACAGGUUGAAAGCUCUUUCUUGAUUCGGUGGGUGGUGGUGCAUGGCCGUUCGUAGUUGGUGGAGUGAUUUGUCUGGUUUAUUCCGAUAACGAACGAGACUCUAGCCUAUUAAUUAGUGAGACGAGCGAACCGCUUUUGCGGCGAUGCCGUUCAGUCACUUCUUAGAGGGACAAGUGUCGUGAGACACUCGAAGUUGAGCAAUAACAGGUCUGUGAUGCCCUUAGAUGUUCGGGGCUGCACGCGCGCUACAAUGGAGGCUUCAAAAAGCGUUCCUGAUCCGAAGGAGCAGGGAAUCAUAAAUAGCCUUCACGAUUGGGAUCGGA
rnacentral:rRNA from 1 species